rnacentral:rRNA from 1 species
CCUUGCCAGCCCGCUCAGAAACUCAAAUGAAUUGACGGGGGCCCGCACAAGCGGUGGAGCAUGUGGUUUAAUUCGAUGAUACGCGAGGAACCUUACCUGGGCUCAAAUGUAUGUUGACGUAUUCUGAAAGGGAUACUUCUUCGGACAAUAUACAAGGUGCUGCAUGGUUGUCGUCAGCUCGUGCCGUGAGGUGUCGGGUUAAGUCCCAUAACGAGCGCAACCCCUAUCAUUAGUUGCCAUCAGGUCAAGCUGGGGACUCUAAUGAAACUGCCUACGCAAGUAGUGAGGAAGGUGGGGAUGACGUCAAAUCAGCACGGCCCUUACGUCCAGGGCUACACACGUGCUACAAUGGCCGGUACAAAGGGCAGCUACCUGGUGACAGGAUGCUAAUCUCAAAAGCCGGUCUCAGUUCGGAUCGGAGUCUGCAACCCGACUCCGUGAAGCUGGAAUCGCUAGUAACCGCAGAUCAGCUACGUUGCGGUGAAUACGUUCCCGGGCCUU